rnacentral:rRNA from 1 species
UGGGGAAUAUUGCACAAUGGGCGCAAGCCUGAUGCAGCCAUGCCGCGUGUGUGAAGAAGGCCUCGGGUUGUAAAGCACUUUCAGCGAGGAGGAAGGUGGUGAACUUAAUACGUUCAUCAAUUGACGUUACUCGCAGAAGAAGCACCGGCUAACUCCGUGCCAGCAGCCGCGGUAAUACGGAGGGUGCAAGCGUUAAUCGGAAUUACUGGGCGUAAAGCGCACGCAGGCGGUUUGUUAAGUCAGAUGUGAAAAUCCCCGGGCUCAACCUGGGAACUGCAUUUGAAAACUGGCAAGCUAGAGUCUCNUAGAGGGGGGUAGAAUUCCAGGUGUAGCGGUGAAAUGCGUAGAGAUCUGGAGGAAUACCGGUGGCGAAGGCGGCCCCCUGGACGAAGACUGACGCUCAGGUGCGAAAA